rnacentral:rRNA from 1 species
UACAGAGGGGGCAAGCGUUGUUCGGAAUUACUGGGCGUAAAGGGCGCGUAGGCGGCCUGUUAAGUCGAACGUGAAAUCCCCGGGCUCAACCCGGGAACUGCGUCCGAUACUGGCAGGCUUGAAUUCGGGAGAGGGAUGUGGAAUUCCAGGUGUAGCGGUGAAAUGCGUAGAUAUCUGGAGGAACACCGGUGGCGAAGGCGGCAUCCUGGACCGAUAUUGACGCUGAGGUGCGAAAGCGUGGGGAGCAAACAGG